UACGUAGGGUGCAAGCGUUAAUCGGAAUUACUGGGCGUAAAGCGUGCGCAGGCGGUUGUGCAAGACAGAUGUGAAAUCCCCGGGCUCAACCUGGGAAUUGCAUUUGUGACUGCACGGCUAGAGUGUGUCAGAGGGGGGUAGAAUUCCACGUGUAGCAGUGAAAUGCGUAGAGAUGUGGAGGAACACCGAUGGCGAAGGCAGCCCCCCUGGGUCAAGAUUGACGCUCAUGCGCGAAAGCGUAGGGGAGCAAACAGG
rnacentral:rRNA from 1 species